rnacentral:rRNA from 1 species
CAGUCGCCGCGGUAAUACGAAGGGGGCUAGCGUUGCUCGGAAUGACUGGGCGUAAAGGGCGCGUAGGCGGCGGCCAAAGUCAGGCGUGAAAUUCCCGGGCUCAACCUGGGGGCUGCGUUUGAUACUUGGUUGCUUGAGUGGGGAAGAGGGUCGUGGAAUUCCCAGUGUAGAGGCGAAAUUCGUAGAUAUUGGGAAGAACACCGGUGGCGAAGGCGGCUCACUGGACCGACACUGACGCUGAGGCGCGAAAGCGUGGGGAGCAAACAGGAUUAGAUACCCCCGUAGUCCCUGUCUCUUAUAC